AGUGAACGCUGGCGGUAGGCCUAACACAUGCAAGUCGAACGGCAGCACAGUAAGAGCUUGCUCUUACGGGUGGCGAGUGGCGGACGGGUGAGGAAUACAUCGGAAUCUACUUUUUCGUGGGGGAUAACGUAGGGAAACUUACGCUAAUACCGCAUACGACCUACGGGUGAAAGCAGGGGAUCUUCGGACCUUGCGCGAUUGAAUGAGCCGAUGUCGGAUUAGCUAGUUGGCGGGGUAAAGGCCCACCAAGGCGACGAUCCGUAGCGGGUCUGAGAGGAUGAUGAGCCACACUGGGACUAAGACACGGUCCAGACUCCUACGGGAGGCAGCAGUGGGGAAUAUUGGACAAUGGGCGCAAGCCUGAUCCAGCCAUACCGCGUGGGUGAAGAAGGCCUUCGGGUUGUAAAGCCCUGUUGUUGGGUAAAAAAAGCAGCAGGUUAAUACCCCGCUGUUCUGACGGUACCCAAAGAAUAAGCACCGGCUAACUUCGUG
rnacentral:rRNA from 1 species